GACGAACGCUGGCGGCGUGCUUAACACAUGCAAGUCGAACGGAAAGGCCCUGCUUUUGUGGCGUGCUCGAUUGGCGAACGGGUGAGUAACACGCGAGUAACCUGCCCUUGACUUUGGGAUAACUCCAGGAAACUGGGGCUCAUACCGGAUAGGAUCUCCUGCUGCAUGGUGGGGGUUGGAAAGUUUCGGCGGUUGGGGCUGGACUCGCGGGUUAUCAGCUUGUUGGUGGGGUAGGGGCUGACCAAGGCUUUGACGGGUAGCCGGCAUGAGAGCGUGAACGGCCACAUGGGGCCUACGAUACGGAGCAGACUGCUAUGGGAGGCAGCAGUGGAGAAUAUGGCACAAUGGGGGGAAGCGUGAUGCAGCAACGCCGCGUGCGGGAUGACGGCCUUCGGGUUGUAAACCGCUUUCGCCUGUGACGAAGCGUGAGUGACGGUAAUGGGUAAAGAAGCACCGGCUAACUACGUG
rnacentral:rRNA from 1 species